UACGGAGGGUGCGAGCGUUGUCCGGAAUCAUUGGGCGUAAAGGGCGCGUAGGUGGCCCGGUCAGUCCGUGGUGAAAGCGCGGGGCUCAACCCUGCGUCGGCCAUGGAUACUGCCGCGGCUCGAGCACUGUAGAGGCAGGCGGAAUUCCGGGUGUAGCGGUGGAAUGCGUAGAGAUCCGGAAGAACACCAGUGGCGAAGGCGGCCCGCUGGGCAGUGGCUGACGCUGAGGCGCGACAGCGUGGGGAGCAAACAGG
rnacentral:rRNA from 1 species